rnacentral:rRNA from 1 species
AUGGUAAGAGCAAUUGUAAUGAUAUUACUCAUGGCCAUCGUGCUUGUUGCCACUACGCCGACGACACACGCCAUGGACAUCACAGAUAGGGACUUGGCGUCUGAGGAGUCCCAAUGGGCACUAUACGAGCGCUGGUGCAAGCAUCACAAUGUGGGAGACAAACUCAGUGACAAGGCUCGGCGCUUCAAAGUGUUCAAGGAGAACGCUCGCAUGAUCCAUGAAUUCAACCAAGGUGACGCACCCUACAAGCUGAGCCUCAACCUCUUCGGCGACAUGACUGAUGAAGAGGUUGACCACAUGUAUGGUCGCUGCUCCAACAUUAGGCCGGACGGCGGGAAGCGGAGCCAAGACCAGUUCACACACGAAGUUGUUGUCGCGCGUGACAACUUACCAAUGUAUGUGGACUGGCGCAUGACAGGCUACGACCAACGCCCGUCAGUUGUGACAAGCGUGAAGAGACAAGGAGGGUGCGGGUCUUGUUGGGCUUUUGCGGCGGCAGCAGCAGUGGAGGGCAUCAACUCCAUCAGGACGAGGAACCUGGUGUCAUUGUCAGCGCAACAGCUCGUAGACUGGGACAAGGGAAGUGGUGGUUGUGUUGGCGGCGGCGCACUAGUGGCCUUAAAAUACAUUUAUAAUCAUGGCGGCAUCACCACAAAGGCUAGCUACCCAUACGUUGCCUAUAAGCAUACCUACUGCUUGGUGUCGAAACGUAACCCUGUCAUCACCAUCGAUGGCAUCAAAGAGGUGCCGCAAAAGGAUGAGGUGGCAUUAAUGCAGGCGGUGGCAGCCCAACCCGUUGUUGUGGUGGUUGACCCGAACGCCUUCAGGCGCUAUGGAGGAGGCAUCUUUGUGGGUCCGUGUGGUACGGAUCGGACCCACUCAAUGUUGGUGGUGGGCUACGGCACCACCGAUGACCAUGACCCCAAAAGACGCAUAGAUUACUGGAUCAUAAAGAACUCAUAG